AAGGCGAUAAGCUUUUGUUCGCGCUUUUAUAGCUUCCCUGACUUUGGUGUUAAACCAAGGACAAGGUGAUGCUUUACCAUAACGCAGCGGAACAGCCAAAAUACCAACAUUCAUUCCAAACAACAUUUUCUAGCUCCAAACGCAGUGCAUUUAGGUUGAUUGAGCGAAAGUCUCUGAAGGUAUACACUUUUCCACUGCAAGAAUCACUAAAGUGAAUGUCAAAAGAGCAAAAAGUUAAAUCAUGAAAUUUGGUCAAAUUUUAACACAGAGGAAUGAUCGGACACGACAAAAUAAUCAAGAAGACUAGGAUUACAAUUAUUACAGAAUCUAGUAGGUGUUGAAGAAUUAACGAUGGAGAGACCAAGAUUUGAGACAUCAUCUGAGAAGGAGGAACAUAUUUUAUCACGGACAAGAAUAUUGUUAUUAAAAUCACCACAGAGUAUAACAUUAUCAUAGUCAAUAAGCAUCGUGGACAGUUUCUCAAAUAAAGGACUUGUACAAGAGGAUCUAUUAGGAUUAUACACACAAGAGGCAAGAACUUUUUUUAGGCGAUCGGUCAAUUCAACAAAUAAAAACUCAAUUUCCUCAGUACUUGAUUCGCAAACAAGCUUCAUGUUUAUGUGGUUCUUGCAGUAAAUUGCAACACCGCCACCUCUUUUGCCAAUUCGAUCAUUUCGCAUAAGCUUAUAAUUUCUUAUGCUAAAGUGGACAUCACUAACAUCCUUAGGGAACCAAGUUUCUGACAC